UACGGAGGGAGCUAGCGUUUGUUCGGAAUUACUGGGCGUAAAGCGCACGUAGGCGGCUAUUCAAGUCGGGGGUGAAAGCCCGGGGGCUCAACCCCCGGAACAGCCCUCGAAACUAGAUAGCUAGAAUCUUGGAGAGGCGAGUGGAAUUCCGAGUGUAGAGGUGAAAUUCGUAGAUAUUCGGAAGAACACCAGUGGCGAAGGCGACUCGCUGGACAAGUAUUGACGCUGAGGUGCGAAAGCGUGGGGAGCAAACAGG
rnacentral:rRNA from 1 species